GACGAACGCUGGCGGCGUGCUUAACACAUGCAAGUCGAACGGAAAGGCCCUGCUUUUGUGGGGUGCUCGAGUGGCGAACGGGUGAGUAACACGUGAGUAACCUGCCCUUGACUUUGGGAUAACUUCAGGAAACUGGGGCUAAUACCGGAUAGGAGCUCCUGCUGCAUGGUGGGGGUUGGAAAGUUUCGGCGGUUGGGGAUGGACUCGCGGCUUAUCAGCUUGUUGGUGGGGUAGUGGCUUACCAAGGCUUUGACGGGUAGCCGGCCUGAGAGGGUGACCGGCCACAUUGGGACUGAGAUACGGCCCAGACUCCUACGGGAGGCAGCAGUGGGGAAUAUUGCACAAUGGGCGGAAGCCUGAUGCAGCAACGCCGCGUGCGGGAUGACGGCCUUCGGGUUUUAAACCGCUUUCGCCUGUGACGAAGCGGGAGUGACGGUAAUGGGUAAAGAAGCACCGGCUAACUACGUG
rnacentral:rRNA from 1 species